CCAUAACACUUACAACUGUCACCAACUGUCAAAGGGAAUGCAGGGAAGAAAGAAGCCAUGGAAAAGUGGAGGUGGAAAGAAGAAUGGAGAGAUGGAAGGCCAGAAAAAAAAGUGUGAAAGAGGACUUCUCCAGGCACAAAGAAAGAGAAAGAUGAGAGGGAGGGAGGGAAAAAAGAGUAACAUAAGUGAAGAAAGAUAGAGGUGCCACAGAAAACCAACAACUUCCUUGUCAUUCCAGCUGUCAAAAAUGACUGGAGGAAGAAAUAAUUCUCCAAGAAUCUCUGAAGGAAGGGAAGGAAGGAAGGAAGGAAGGAAGGAAGGAAGGAAGGAAGGAAGGAAGGAAGGGGAGACUCACAUAACCAGAGAGGAGCGCUUCCAGUGGAGACCUGGGCAAGUUCUGAAGGGGCUUUAAAAGAGAAGGCCUGAGCACUGCUUUGAUUAUUCACAGGGAAGGCUGCAAUCGUACAGAGAAAAGCAAUAGUUAUAGUAUUCAAGGCGCAACUCUUCUGGUAAAAAGGCUGGGAAACCUGCAAGAAAAGGAACAAAUAGUGAAAAGAGAAAGAAACUUGCUCUUAUCUCCAGCUGUGAAAUGAAAGUAAAUACUUCCUGUAGUAAUCUGCUAAAAGUCACAGGUUUGUUGCCAAGAAACAGAACUCAGUGGCCAAUGGAAUUUCACAAAUGUGAAGUAUGAAGGCAAAUUAUAACAGCAUCACAGAGUUAACAUUCGUAAGAAAUAUUUACAAUGUAUAACACACUAAUAUUACUUUUAAACAAGUCAACAGCCAAUUUUGUUUUACAAAAGACCAAUAAAAAUACUUCAACCAAUAAAGUCUUGCAAGUUUAGAGAAAAAGCACCCUUUGAUGUAUUUCUCCUUUUACAUGGAAAAAAGGUGUUAUUUCUGAAAUCAUUGUAUGGUCCCAUAACGUUCUUAUCCAUCACAGAAUUCACUAAAUUAUUGUUCUCUCUUUGUUGUUUCAGAACUUGGAGUGCAGUUUGUUUUGGAAACUAUGCUUUUAAAACUUUCUUUGUGAGCGUGUCGCACCAACUUGUGAAUCCACCAUUUCUUCACUUGCUAUACUAGAAAUCGCCUUGUCAAAUGUGUGUCUCAACUCCACAUCUGUGCAACUAACAGAGCAUCAAGGGCAGAGGCACUUCCAGAAGAGUGUUUAACUCUUCCUAUGCCCAUAACUUCUCGCCUACCAAUACCAUCCCUAAGGCUGUUGGGCUCACUUUUCAGAGGCAGUGGAAGAAAUUAAGAACUGCUUAGGGGUGGGCACAUUUGCAAAAGAAAACUGGUAGGUGGGGGGAAAGGUUAAGCACCUCCAGUCUCUUUUAAAACAUCUUAUUUCCUACACAUGCUGAAAUAAGAGCAUCUCUUUCUCGGUUUGCUUUUAGGAGGACCCUGAGAUGUACCUGUUUUCCCAGGCUUUUAAUUGAAAUCUAAAUUUUAAUGUGUUUUUAUUUAUUGAGAUUUUAUCUAUUUUAUGAAUUUUAACCAUUUCAUAUUGUUUUAUGUUUUGAUUUGUAUACCGCCUGGAGAUUUCUAUAUCAGGUGGUAAAGAAAUAUAAUACAAUACAAUACAAUACAUGCUGCUCCUGUUCCAUGCUUCAGAGUAGGAGUAGGCAAUCCUAGCUCUCUGUUGAACUACAACUCCAUUCCUAGCCACAAUUUAUUGCCACAAAGAUUGCCUUUCCGUUGCCUUUGAGUUUACCAUCAACCAUGAAAUGACAGCAUACAACAGCUAAAGCAGGGCUAAAUUAUCACACAAGUAGCUUGAGUUAGCAAGAAUCCUUUAUUGGGCUCUGCAAAGCACAUGGCCAAAAACUGUCCAUCUGUUACAAAGUUAAAUUCCAGUCUCACAAGUACAUCUGUACAGAAAUAGCUGCAUGCAGAAACACACUGGAAUGGAUGAGAUUUUUUAAAGCACAGCUACACCAAAGCCUCCUUAAAAGUGAGAGACCUUGUAUGUCCAUUUGUAUAAGUACUUCCCAUCCUUUGAGAUCCAACAACAAUAUUCAAGCAAGGUAAGUCUAAACAUUUAGAGGUAAAAUAAAACAUAAAACCAACAAAAGGCAAAGCUGUACCUGAAAUAUUAGACUUGUCUUUCAAUGGAGAAUAGGAAGAAAACAUCCAUUGUCCGGAAGAUUCCCAAAUCUCCAUGUCUUUCAUUAUUAAUUCACUGGAUAAAAGAUACAAAAAUAAAUAAAAUAAAAGCAUAGACUAACCUGCAGAUUUGAAACAAAAUCCUAGAUUUUUAGCUUUUAAUUUAAAAGCUAGAUUCUAGAUUUUUGUAAAACCACAGAGCCAAGUUGAAGGUCUGCUAAUGUUGAUGAAAAGAAAUGAGUUCUAGAAGAGAAUGUAUUGCAAUACUCUGUAUUUUAGAGGCAGAAAAACAACAAAGCAUACAACUGGAGAGAAUGAAAAGUGCAAGAUGAAGCAGAAGCAAUGUACUAGAAUGAAAAACCAACAUUUCCCAUGGAAUGAAAUUUCUCAAUAUUUUAGAGCAGUUUGAUUUUCAUAAACAAAGCCACUCCAGUCCAGCAAAGGAGAUUCACAUAUGCAUUAACUGCCUGCUAAGAUACGGAUUUAUUCUCCCACUUGUAUUCAGAGCCACUAGUUGAGUGCAGCAAAGCAUGACUAGAACUGGAUUGGAGACAGCAUUAAAGCCAUUGGAAACGUAUUUGUACAUGCAUCCAGGUCAUAUGUGUUUGAUAGUUAUUACAAAAUAAUAAUAAUCUAAAGAUAGUAUCCACAUGAUUAAAAUAACGUGUAAAAAAUUAUGUGUUCGCUACUUUCUACUAGGUUAGGAUGUUUAGGCUACUGCUUCCCUUUUCACUUUCCAGUGUGCAUUAGGGGUGUGCACGGAACCGUUUUUUGUGGUUUGGUAAUUCAAACUGAAUCUCUAGUCUGCAAACCGGUUUGAACUGGUUCGACACAGUUUGAGGGGCUCUGCUUGUAAAGGGGAAUUCCAGCUUUAAAGGUUUCUAAGGGCACUGGUGAGUAGGGGUGUGCACGGAACUGGCUGGCCCGGUUCAGUUAGAGUCUAGACUGGACUCGAAGUCCGCUCCGGCCCCCAUCGAACCCAUCCCGGUCCA